rnacentral:rRNA from 1 species
AGAGUUUGAUCAUGGCUCAGGAUGAACGCUAGCUACAGGCUUAACACAUGCAAGUCGAGGGGCAGCAUGUUGGUUGCUUGCAACCAACGAUGGCGACCGGCGCACGGGUGAGUAACGCGUAUCCAACCUACCCUUGUCCAUCGGAUAACCCGUCGAAAGGCGGCCUAACACGAUAUGCGGUUCACAGCAGGCAUCUAACGUGAACGAAAUGUAAAGGAGAAGGAUGGGGAUGCGUCUGAUUAGCUUGUUGGCGGGGUAACGGCCCACCAAGGCUACGAUCAGUAGGGGUUCUGGAGAGGAAGGUCCCCCACAUUGGAACUGAGACACGGUCCAAAAUCCUACGGGAGGCA